rnacentral:rRNA from 1 species
AUUGUACGCUGGCGGCAUGCCUUACACAUGCAAGUCGAACGGCAGCACGGGGGCAACCCUGGUGGCGAGUGGCGUACGGGUGAGUAAUGCAUCGGAACGUGUCCUCUUGUGGGGGAUAACCAGUCGAAAGACUGGCUAAUACCGCAUGAGCUCGAGAGGGGAAAGCGGGGGACCGCAAGGCCUCGCGCGAGAGGAGCGGCCGAUGUCCGAUUAGCUAGUUGGGGGGGUAACGGCCCACCAAGGCGACGAUCGGUAGCUGGUCUGAGAGGGCGACCAGCCACACUGGGACUGAGACACGGCCCAGACUCCUACGGGAGGCAGCAGUGGGGAAUUUUGGACAAUGGGCGCAAGCCUGAUCCAGCCAUGCCGCGUGUGUGAAGAAGGCCUUCGGGUUGUAAAGCACUUUCGGGCGGAACGAAAUCGCGCGGAUGAACAAUCCGCGUGGAUGACGGUACCGCAAGAAGAAGCACCGGCUAACUACGUGCCAGCAGCCGCCGUAA